CCUAACACAUGCAAGUCGAACGGUAACAGGAAACAGCUUGCUGUUUCGCUGACGAGUGGCGGACGGGUGAGUAAUGUCUGGGAAACUGCCUGAUGGAGGGGGAUAACUACUGGAAACGGUAGCUAAUACCGCAUAACGUCGCAAGACCAAAGAGGGGGACCCUCGGGCCUCUUGCCAUCGGAUGUGCCCAGAUGGGAUUAGCUUGUUGGUGGGGUAACGGCUCACCAAGGCGACGAUCCCUAGCUGGUCUGAGAGGAUGACCAGCCACACUGGAACUGAGACACGGUCCAGACUCCUACGGGAGGCAGCAGUGGGGAAUAUUGCACAAUGGGCGCAAGCCUGAUGCAGCCAUGCCGCGUGUAUGAAGAAGGCCUUCGGGUUGUAAAGACUUUCAGCGGGGAGGAAGGGAGUAAAGUUAAUACCUUUGCUCAUUGACGUUACCCGCAGAAGAAGCACCGGCUAACUCCGUGCCAGCGGCCGCGGUAAUACGGAGGGUGCAAGCGUUAAUCGGAAUUACUGGGCGUAAAG
rnacentral:rRNA from 1 species